rnacentral:rRNA from 1 species
UAACCUGCCUCUUAGCGGGGGGUAACUAUUGGAAACGAUAGCUAAUACCGCAUAAAAGUCGAUAUCGCAUGAUAUUGAUUUGAAAGGUGCAAUUGCAUCACUAAGAGAUGGACCUGCGUUGUAUUAGCUAGUUGGUGAGGUAACGGCUCACCAAGGCGACGAUACAUAGCCGACCUGAGAGGGUGAUCGGCCACACUGGGACUGAGACACGGCCCAG